UACGUAGGUGGCAAGCGUUGUCCGGAAUUAUUGGGCGUAAAGCGCGCGCAGGCGGUCCUGUAAGUCUGAGGUGAAAGCCCACGGCUCAACCGUGGAGGGGCAUUGGAAACUGGGGAACUUGAGUGCGGAAGAGGAAAGUGGAAUUCCACGUGUAGCGGUGAAAUGCGUAGAGAUGUGGAGGAACACCAGUGGCGAAGGCGACUUUCUGGUCUGUAACUGACGCUGAGGCGCGAAAGCGUGGGGAUCAAACAGG
rnacentral:misc_RNA from 1 species